rnacentral:rRNA from 1 species
CGUACACUCCUACGGGAGGCAGCAGUGAGGAAUAUUGGACAAUGGGUGGAAGCCUGAUCCAGCCAUCCCGCGUGCAGGAAGACGGCCCUAUGGGUUGUAAACUGCUUUUAUCUGGGGAUAAACCUACUUACGUGUAAGUAGCUGAAGGUACCAGAAGAAUAAGCACCGGCUAACUCCGUGCCAGCAGCCGCGGUAAUACGGAGGGUGCAAGCGUUAUCCGGAUUUAUUGGGUUUAAAGGGUCCGUAGGCGGACUGAUAAGUCAGUGGUGAAAUCCGACAGCUUAACUGUCGAACUGCCAUUGAUACUGUUAGUCUUGAGUAAGGUUGAAGUGGCUGGAAUAAGUAGUGUAGCGGUGAAAUGCAUAGAUAUUACUUAGAACACCAAUUGCGAAGGCAGGUCACUAAGUCUUAACUGACGCUGAUGGACGAAAGCGUGGGGAGCGAACAGGAUUAGAAACCCGUGUAGUCCCAUGAU